CCAAUGGUUCUCCUAAGAACCAUGUAAGGCUCAAUUAUGAUUUAUCU
rfam:Solanum tuberosum cultivar DM 1-3 516 R44 scf00047_9, whole genome shotgun sequence.